UAGGAUCUUCCCUUUCUUUAAAAAAAUAUAUGUAUUACAAAAGGCAUGUUUUUUUAUCCUCAAAACCAAAAAUUACUUUUCUUAUUGCUCAACAAAAAUGACAUGGCAUACAGAGAAGCGUUGUUUGGCUUUCAUAAAAGAGAAAAAUGAGAAACAGCAGAACCAUAACUGUAAUUUACAGUACAGUAUUUCAGAACAAGUGAUGGUUAAAACAACACAUAAAACUUGGCUGCCACAAGUAACCCUCCCUCCAAAAAUGCUGUCUGUUGGGAAUAAACAUGCUCUUCUAACUGUUCCUAACAACCACUGUGUUCAGGUCUGGUAUUUGAGAGAACUAGAAGGGUAUACUCAACAGCUUGCCUCUGUCUGCCCCAGUAAAGCAGAACAUUUCAAAGACUGAUGUCCCAACAUCUUUUCAUCUACCCAUUCCUAAUCUGUCACACAUCACAUAAUGAAUCCUCCAAUUAAAGACACUAAUGCCAAAUCACUACAGGUGUUAAAAGCUUGGCAGACCUUGAAUGAGAGUGUUCUAUCUGUAACAAUUAACCCAAAGGCAAUACCUGAAGGCUUUGAAGAAACCACGAGAAAGUCACAAGUGAAAUGUCAAACACUCACAAUGGUCACUGAGAGGUACAAAUCGCACUGCAUGUUAUCUCUUUCUGUAGGGAAAGCUCAAACUCACUUCUGAAGUUCUCUUCUGUGAAAAAAUUAGAUUUCAAAACUUGUUAUCUGGCAAGUGGUGACGGAGAUGGCUAGGAGAUUGGUACAAACCGCUGCCAGAAGCUGUGUCUCAAUGUGUCGGAGACCAGGAACAUAAUGAAAAGGCAGUCGUGUGUGAUAGAAAGUGACAGGUUGGUAGAAAUGGGCAGAGAUUAAACACUGAAGCCACUAGAGAGGGAGGACAUGCGACAUCAAGCCUGCCUCUCCUACAUGGAUCAAUAAAUACGUAGAGGAGUUGCAGGUAGGCAGCAUCUUGCCUGAUUUAAACCCCCCCAUGAAGAUAAUCAAUUUUUAUCAGUGACUGAUCGGUGACUGAUCACUGAGCGGUGAAGACUGAGUAAUUUAAGCAACUCUCUUUUCUGUUAGGGACUGUAAAGCGCUGAUAUCAGCAAGGAACUGGACUUGUACAAAAGUUACAUUUUCAUUCCCCCUUUUAAUUUGAUACCGAAUCUUAUAUUUAACUGGGACUUUAGGGGCUUUGUUGCCAUGGAGACGGACAGUAUCCAAUGUCAGACAUGGUACAUUUCGAAAGAGAAUGUGGUUACCCUGGAAACAGCCACAUGAGUGAGCUGAAGCCUCGAAGGAAGAAGGGAAAAAAAACAAAACAAAGACAUUCAACAAGAUAGAGACAGCAUGAUGACAUUCAUUACAAUCAUUUUAAAUGUCUCAACAAACCAUUUGGUUGAUGAGGACGGAUGGACUGUUGGAUUUGAUCCUGAAAUAGUGCAAAGACAUGCGUCAUUCACUGCUAACCAGAGAAGAAAUCUGAGUUGACGUCUAAGGAAGAAAAUAACCACUUCUGAAGAACUUGACCUCAACCUGCUUGUCCAUCUACAGUGUUCUUAAUAGGCCACCUGCAGACAAACAUGAAUACGUUGCCAUAAAGUGUUUUUGUGCAAACACAAUGUCUGAGCAUGUUUCUUUUCAACAACCUCAAAGCACCUGAGCCACCAGGAUUACCUGCUGGUGAAAAGGAGACUCUAGAAGACUGAUGACUGAUUUAAAUGACAGCUGUUAAACCAGCAUAAAUACAUAAAGGUCCAAUCACCGUGAGAAAUUGACACACCACCAACUACUUCACUGAUUUUGGUGAAACUGGAUCAUAUUUGAGGGAAGAAAUGUUUUCUACUUUUCCCCUCUGAUGUCCUCCGACUGCUCUGCUUCAACUCUCAGUGAUUUACAGAGAUUCCUGAUGGACAGUUAAGUAAACUGCUGGGAGCUGUAGCUGCUGUUACCUAAUGUUAGCUCAGGCUGUUAGCCAGGCAGUGAGCUCACAACACUGGGGGGACUGCAAGUGUUUGUACCACAGGUGUUUUGGACCACCGGGAAGAGAAGGUGUUCAGGGAAUGAGGGAAUGCUGACGGGAAACGGAGGAGAUGGUGUUGUGCCACUAGAACACCGAAGCUGGGCGAGCGAGCAAUGUAACCGCGCUCAGCAGCUUCUAUGAACAUAAUGACAGAGACAAAGAGACCAAAGAGAACAAUGGUGGAAGCUAAGGAGAGCGUGACGAGCAAGAAGCUGUCGUGUAAGAGUAAAUCUGGGACUGACUUUUAGUUGGCGAGAGUCUUGUGAAAUAAAAAGCUGAAAGAGAGACGACAAACUGGGCUUCUUGCUGUUGGAUAAGUAAGUAAUAUAAACUGGCUGCCAUGUCUUGUGUUGUUACACUUUUUGAUCAUAAGCAUUAUAACCAUGACAAAUACACUCUGAAACUGGGGGGACUAAAUUGCAAAAAUACCAAUGUGGCUAUACUGUCUAGAAGAGAUCAUAGAUAGCCUUUUUUUUAGAAAAUGUUUUUCUGAGCCAUUGAAAAAUUGUUUAUUCACUGUUCUGUGAAAUCUCUGACUCCAGUCUUAGUAUUGUGUAGCCAUGUUAGUGUUAAAGUCUUGUCUGUAUGCUGUUCAACCUAAUUUUCUUUCUAAAUGUUGAGCUGCAAGCCUAACAUUAGGGAGGCCAUUUGUAUACCCGAUACUUGAUUGUUUUGCCUUGUCUGUACAUCUCAAAAUAUUUUCUGCCAACACAGAGUUAUUUUAUGUAUGAUGUUCUUCUCGUUUUUCAUUACUUCUUCUAUUUUUACUUUAGGUGCAAACAGCAUAAAUAUUGAAGACUCAGAUACUAUUGUGCUUUCUUCAUAGCCAAGCAUAACCAUGUCUCCCUGACUUCAGAACAAAGCUUAAUCACAAAACUGCUGAGCUUCGAGUCGAUCCUAAUCACAUACUGAAAAGAGGUUUAUGAAGGGGUGAUAGUGCGCCGACCAAUCAGGCACACAUUCAGGCAACUUCUCUCUUUAGCUGUCAAAGUCAUGACUAGUACGAAUGCAUAUUGGGAUUAGGCAGUGGAAAAUGUGUGUGACGAGAGAGCAUCAAGCAGAUUAACCAAUACAUAAAAGAGGCUGCCCUUGUAAAACAACUACAGAAUCACCACACACCGUUCACAUAUUAAAUGGAUUACUCAUCAGCUCACAUGUUUACUAGUUUACAUGUUGUUCUUGUUAAAAGACAGAACGCGUUUGUCUUGUUUAUAUCAAGCCAUAACAUCACUGCACCUAUCCACCUGCCAAAUGUUUCUGAAUCAAAGCAGGAUCUCUGCCAAUCAGUCUCUCUGACAGCGGAAAAACAGGUCAGAGAACUUCCCGCAAUUAUUCUUACG